UUGCAUGUUGCCAUUCUUUGCAGGCCUUCCCCGAUGCCCACAGCUUUCCAAAGAUGGUGAAAAGCCAUGGCUGUCUCUCUUAGCACCUCGAAUGCAUCCCGAGUCCCAUGGACUUCUGUCCUGCUGUCUGCAGGCCAUGUACAUUUUACAAAAUCAAAGCAUGGCCACGUACAAUUUGAUAUUCCAUAGCCAGCAUCAGGAAGUACAAUCUUUCAGCUGUGUUUUUCUAGAGAACUACUCAUGUGUUUGUAGUUUUUGGCUGGGAGAUUAAAUAGGAAACCUUUCUGGUCUCCAUGCCACUGCUUUGCAACUGAAAGUGGCACUGUCUGCAGAGAGAUACAAGUCACGCUUUUCUUUCCUAAAAAGACUUGCAAACACCAUCCACCCCACCCUUAGAAACUCUGCAGUCCUUAAAGGAAACUUUAAAUCCUCCCUCAUAAAUGUCUCCAAAAUCAACACAACACUCCCUGGAGAAUCAGGAACUGGAAAGCAGGUCUGAAAGAAAAGGGUAAGGAUGUCUGGUGGCCAAACUGGCUGCAGGCUUCCAUAUCUGAGGGUGCUGAAUGGAUCCCUUCAUAGCUGACCUAUGGAAGAUGUUGCUCACAGGCUUGAAGUUGAAAAAAUAUCCUCUCAUCUGAACACCCAGUACAUUCAAGGAGGCUUUUUGCUUCAGAACAGGUAAUUCUACAAUGAAAUGAAACCUGUUCUUCCUCAGCUGAGCCAUGCCUGCAUUCCUAAUUCAUUGUAGGUUAAACUCUGUUAUCCUGAUUUGGGUUGUCUGUUAGAAAUAAGUAGGACUUCCUCAGAAAAGGUAUUGAUAAAAGACGCAGGUCUAGAACCAGGUAUACUAGACAA